rnacentral:rRNA from 1 species
CCUACGGGGGGCUGCAGUAGGGAAUAUUGGUUAAUGUGCGAAAGCGCGAACCAGCAACGCCGCGUGUACGAUGAAGGCCUUCGGGUUGUAAAGUACUUUUCACCGGGAAGAGGAAGGACGGUACCGGUGGAAUAAGUCUCGGCUAACUACGUGCCAGCAGCCGCGGUAACACGUAGGAGACGAGCGUUAUCCGGAUUUACUGGGUGUAAAGCGCGUGCAGGCGGUUUGUUAAGUUGGAUGUGAAAGCUCCCGGCUAAACUGGGAGAGGUCGUUCAAAACUGGCAGACUAGAGUGUGGUAGAGGGGAGUGGAAUUCCGAGUGUAGCGGUAAAAUGCAUAGAUAUUCGGAAGAACACCAGUGGCGAAGGCGACUUCCUGGACCACAACUGACGCUCAGACGCGAAAGCCAGGGUAGCAAACGGGAUUAGAUACCCCAGUAGUC